AAAAAAAAGAAAAUCAGGCAAGAAAACAGGAAACAAAACAGCUUUUUUUGCUUUCUUAUUUUCACAGAACAUCUGAAUAAAACCGGUGAGCCAAACACGAAAGGAAAACGUGCGGUCAGCGUGAAUGACACGUUAUUCGUGGAACACACGAGGGCAACUCCCCCGAACACAAAGCAGAGAUACAAGGUUGUAAUUAAAGUAAAAACAUUUCUAUCUGACACGGCUGAGGCACUGGAAGCUUGGCGUGGAUACGCGUCACAGUCCACCAGACUGUUUGUAUUUAUAUGUGUUUAAGUGUGUCAGCAGCUGUGGCACAAACAGAUUUCUAUUUUUUUUUUUUAAUUACUGGAUGCAACAGCAGGCUACGUCUGUGAUCGGCGUCCUUGUUCUAGGCCAUCAAGAUGGCUAUGAUGGCUGUGACAUCUGUUGCAAUAAUGUGGCUGCAGGAGGAUUUGGGUUUUUUUGUAAUGUGACAGUACUUUUAAUGUAAAGCUGAUUUAUGAAAAGCUGAACUUAAGAACAGGAUAUAGUACAUUUUACAGUAUAGCAGUGCCUCUCAGAGGGACUGGUGGAUCUGUGUAAAGCUGCUGCAGGGGGGAAAAAGUGGUAGUUUUACUGAACAGUUUAAUACUGUUAGCCGCCCCAUCACACAGGCCUAGAGUCAGUGACCCUCAGCAACCGCUUCUUUGGAAAAAAGCCCUCGACCAGUUUGCAGUUGUUAGGUGACACUGAUUGCAAAGAGGUAGAUGGUGGUGCGCUGAAAACCUCCUCGUCAUUAAUUAGGUCCACUAUUGUUUGGUGAGUAAUUGCAAGUUUGUGUCCUCAAUGCAAACUAUGGGCAACCGUGGGAAUCUGCUAGCAACCAAAGCAACUUUGUGACCAAUUUCACCUGGCAACCACCAGCAACCACUCGUCAGCUGGUCAGUGAAGGCGCAUUUUUCCCUAGCGACAGGAAGUUGCCAGAGAGUUACCAAUCAGUCUUUAAGCAUGCACGAAUUAGGUGAUUGGCUGAAUAUUUGAUAGAAAUUAAACCAACUUUUUUUUUUGUUUUCCAAUCUUCUGAAGUCGAGCAUGACGGAAGAGGUUUGGGAACAAGACCAGAACAGUUAGCGUCAGAGUGGAGAAACAUGGUAUGAGCACUUGAAAACAACUCAAAGGCCUUCAAAAACAGCACCUGCUACAAGUACAGGCUGUUUUUUUUUUUUUUUUUAAAGAAACACUUGUCAUUCAAAAUGAUAGAUUACAAUCGAUUAUUAAACUCCAAAUAAAACUGAUUCAGUCAGAUAAAUUGUCAAGCACAGAAGUUGCAAUUGCAAACGGACACAGAAACAAAUGUAAGUUGCUACAUGGAGUUUAACUGUUUCAGGUUGCUUUGCUGCCAUUUGUGACCUCAGUGAAACGUAACAUGAUGCAGUUUGUGUGUCCCUGCUCAGCAGUCUGGUUGUUUAUCACUGUCUUUGGGUAAAGUUUUGAUCUUUCUCUUUGAACAAAGUCAUCAUAGUCAUAGAGAGCAGUCUGAAGUUAGGCCCUUCGAAACUUGUUGAUCAUCAGUUUGUAGUUCCAAAAAUACAAAGGCAUCAGUGCCUGUCAUUCCUAAAAAUCUUCUGAGAUAUGUUGCUUCUUCAGUAAG
ensembl:lncRNA